UACGUAGGGUGCGAGCGUUGUCCGGAAUUAUUGGGCGUAAAGAGCUCGUAGGCGGUCUGUCGCGUCGGUCGUGAAAACUUGGGGCUUAACCCUGAGCUUGCGGUCGAUACGGGCAUGACUGGAGUUCGGUAGGGGAGACUGGAAUUCCUGGUGUAGCGGUGAAAUGCGCAGAUAUCAGGAGGAACACCGGUGGCGAAGGCGGGUCUCUGGGCCGGUACUGACGCUGAGACGCGAAAGCGUGGGGAGCGAACAGG
rnacentral:rRNA from 1 species